UACAGGGGGUGCAAACGUUGCUCGGAAUCAUUGGGCGUAAAGCGCACGUAGGCGGUUCGUUAUGUCGGAUGUGAAAGCCCUUGGCUUAACCGAGGAAGUGCAUCCGAAACUGGCGAGCUAGAGUACUAAAGAGGAUCGCGGAAUUCCCGGUGUAGAGGUGAAAUUCGUAGAUAUCGGGAGGAACACCGGUGGCGAAGGCGGCGAUCUGGGUAGAUACUGACGCUGAGGUGCGAAAGCGCGGGGAGCAAACAGG
rnacentral:rRNA from 1 species